rnacentral:rRNA from 1 species
UACGAAGGGGGGCUAGCGUUGCUCGGAAUGACUGGGCGUAAAGGGCGCGUAGGCGGAUGGUACAGUCAGAUGUGAAAUUCCCGGGCUUAACCUGGGGGCUGCAUUUGAUACGUGCGAUCUGGAGUGAGGAAGAGGGUCGUGGAAUUCCCAGUGUAGAGGUGAAAUUCGUAGAUAUUGGGAAGAACACCGGUGGCGAAGGCGGCGACCUGGUCCUUGACUGACGCUGAGGCGCGAAAGCGUGGGGAGCAAACAGG